UCCCUGGUGGUCCAGUGGCUAGGACUCGGCACUGUCACUGCCGUGGGCCUGGGGUUCAAUCCCUGGUCAGGGAA
rnacentral:tRNA from 2 species